UUGUUUUGGAACUCUAGAUGAUAAUUUUUUUGAGAAGAUACAAAUUAACAUUUAAAUUAAAAAAAAUGUAGUAUUGUAUUCAGUUAUAAUAAAUUAAAAAUGAUAAAUUAAGUAGGCAUGGAAGAAAAUUCAUCUUGUAUUUAUUGUUACCACAAAGUAAAAGUUGUGUAGACGUUAGGCGGGAUCAUUUGGAUAUAAUAUUAAAUCUCUGCGUCACGUCCGUCAUGAAUCUCCUUGAAUGCUAGAAAUGAAAACUGACAAAUCAAUAUCCUAAUAUGUAUUCUGUAUUCUCUGGGAUCAGCUCUUGCUUGGUAUUGGGGCCUCAAAACCAAGGAAAAUGCUUGAGUUGAGAUGAUAAAUUGUCCAAAAACAACGACAAACAAAGAGAGCUAUAUAUUUGAAUACCAGCAACAACCCCACCUCUACAUCAACCAGAACCCGACCAUAAAGAGCUGAGCCUCGAUGCAAGUUUCGC
rnacentral:lncRNA from 1 species